CCUACGGGAGGCAGCAGUGAGGAAUAUUGGUCAAUGGACGAGAGUCUGAACCAGCCAAGUAGCGUGAAGGAUGACUGCCCUAUGGGUUGUAAACUUCUUUUAUAAAGGAAUAAAACGAGGCACGUGUGCCUUUUUGCAUGUACUUUAUGAAUAAGGAUCGGCUAACUCCGUGCCAGCAGCCGCGGUAAUACGGAGGAUCCGAGCGUUAUCCGGAUUUAUUGGGUGUAAAGGGAGCGUAGAUGGGUUGUUAAGUCAGUUGUGAAAGUUUGUGGCUCAACCGUAAAAUUGCAAUUGAUACUGGUAGUCUUGAGUACAGUUGAGGUAGGCGGAAUUCGUGGUGUAGCGGUGAAAUGCUUAGAUAGCACGAAGAACCCCGAUUGCGAAGGCAGCUUACUAAACUGUGACUGACAUUGAUGCUCGAAAGUGUGGGUAUCAAACAGGAUUAGAUACCCCAGUAGUC
rnacentral:rRNA from 1 species